GUCUAUGGCCAUGCCACCCUGAACGUGCCCAAUCUCGUCUGAUCUCAGAUGCUAAGCAGUGUCAGGCCUGGUUAGUACUUGGAUGGGAGACCACCUAGGAAUACCAGGUGCUGUGGGUG
rnacentral:rRNA from 1 species